AGAACGAUCGNUGGCGGCGUGAUAUAACACAUGCAAGUCGAACGGAGAUUGAGAGCAGCUUGCUUCUCCAAGAUCUUAGUGGCGGACGGGUGAGUAACGCGUGGGCAAUCUGCCCGUAAGAGGGGGACAACACUGUGAAAACGGUGCUAAUACCGCAUAACAUCACUGGUGAGCAUUCACUGGUGAUCAAAGGAGAAAUCCGCUUACGGAUGAGCCCGCGUUGGAUUAGCUAGUUGGUGGGGUAAAGGCCUACCAAGGCGACGAUCCAUAGCUGGUCUGAGAGGAUGAUCAGCCACAUUGUUACUGAGACACGGCCCAGACUCCUACGGGAGGCAUCAGUGG
rnacentral:sRNA from 1 species